rnacentral:lncRNA from 1 species
CCGACACCCGCGGGCGACGCGCUGGCUCCUCCGGCAUCCGCCUGCAGGGGGCGCGGCGCUCGCGGGCCCGCGGCCUCGGAUGCAGAGGAGGAGCUGAGAGGCAGGCGCGUAAGCGGGUUCCGCCGCGCGUCUCCCGAAGGUCGCUCGGAACCUGGAGGCUGGUGAGCGCCUGCAGGACGGGGACGGCGUUUUUCCACUUGUCACCAGCUAGUCCGCUCUCGGGUCCCGCAGCCGGAGGGGGCUGGGAGCCGGCCGGGAGAGGUCACCUCCCGGCCGGUGGGCUUUUCCUGCCUGCUUGGAGCUCGGGGAGGGGAGGGGAGCUUUUCUUCUCUGGCGCACGGCCGCGCUGGACUUCGGAAAGUUUCCUACCACCUGGGGACGGAGGAGGACGAAGUGCGAGCCUGCUUCCAGGCUGGGACGAACCGAAAAUACAGAAGUGUCGCUGGCCAGCCGCACUCCGGCGUCCCCAGCAAUCACCCCCUUCCCUGGCCGAGCGGCCCCAGGGAGACCUGGGAGUGCGGCCGCCCGCCUGGUGGGCCCUGCGCCACCACGAACCGGGACAGCCCGCCCUGCAGCUUCGCUAGAGGAGGACGAUGGGGCUGCUAUCCCAGAGGAACAGAAUUCGCGUCCUCGCAGGGUGUCAAAGGGGGCUCGAUCUGGCCCAGGGCCUCGGCGAAUACACCCCCAGGGGCGCCCGGGCCAAAAGUGCCUUUGGACUACAACCUUGGGCUCCGGGGUGUCCACGUCCCUUUGUCACUCCAGAAGUUCCGCUGAGCUGGGGGUGGUGACUGUCCCCGUCCCGAUCCGGACCCAGCAGCCAAGGCCAGAGAUCAGAUAAAUCAGUUAUCAAAGUGAGGCCAAGAACUGGAACAACCACUGAGAUGCUUCAAAAAAAACUUAGCAAGACCAAGAAACAACUCAUCCACUGCCAAGACGACAAAUACUCAUUUCCACCCAAAAGCUAUCAUUGAAAGCUACCCUUUGUGCACUGCACAUGGUGUAGGUUGUGAGUAUGCUCAACAUUUUAAUUUGUAAAUGCUGAUGGCAAAUGUGCUUCUGCCCUGCUCUGGGAUCCGAGGACCACCUUAUCAUUCUUAAACGGAAGCAAAUGAGUAAAUGGUCACUUUGUAUUUUGUACAUUUGACCCAAGUAAUGUUCUGCAUUCUCUCAUUUGGCAAAAGCAAAUUCACCAUCCCCAACAAUUAAAAGUCUGUAGCUUUGCCCAGCUCUGUGGAUCUUAAUUCAUACCCAGCUUGAUUGUUUCAACCUCCAAAUCAUUAUAGAAGGCUAACGCGGUCUCUAUAAUAUGUCAGUUCUCAGAUUAACUUGUUGCUUGACCCAGAAUCAUUAUUUUCUCUUUCCUUUACUUCAGGUAACCUAAGACUGUAGCUAUCCCGAGAAGCAAGCUUUUUUUUUCCUUUGUUUUUUUUUUUUAAAGUAACUUUGAAAAAAAAAAAAAAAGGAAUGACAUAGCAGCCAAGAUAGCAAACAGUCCCAGAUCUCAGGGAAAAAUUAUGCUCUAAAUAUGUACAAUUAUUGCUUAACAAUUGUUUUGCAAAAUCCCUGGCUAAAUAGAGACAUUCCCUUUCUCCUUCCUCAUUUUAAAAUGCAUUUAGCGGCACAGGGCAAGCUCAGUAACUUAGAGCUUUGGGUCAUUUGUCCAGUGGCUGUGGGUCUCCUAGAAGUCCUUUGUCUGAAAUGUCUGGAGGGCUGAAGAAAAAGCAAUGUUUGGGCUCAAAUUACAGUUUCUUCCAUUUCCCACUUUGUUUCAUUAUCACACACCUGACAGUACAUUUCCUGACUCUAUAUGUGAGAGCUCUCGAGCAAAAAAAAAAAAAAAAAAAAACACGGAAUGAAUAUGGUUUUCAAAAUGUCUCCUUUGCUGAUGUUACUCCCAUAAUCUCUCAACCCUCCUAGAUGAAAUACCGCUUACAUCCAAACCCUGACUUUUGAAAGUUAGUUUCAGAGGAAAAACUUCUGGCUGGCACCUGGCUGUCUGGGGGUCCAGUCAGAAAGAACAAGGUAUGUUUUCCCCCUCCUCUAGAGGGACAUCAGAGUCCCUGCCCCCGGCCCUUCCUAGCAGGCUGGGUGACAUCCACGCAGGUGCGGGGAGCUACUGAACGGUGGAAGCCAGCUUCUCACUUCCAGUCACUCAAGGCUUCACUUUCUUAGGCUCUUUAAAUCUCCUUGGGAAAAUUGUUAGUGACAAACUAAUUCCUCAGAACAGGGCAGGAUUUGCCCUUCACUAUUUUAGGACAUUUUCCACGUAUAUAUUCAUCCUUCACCACAAUAAAAGUUCAGUCUUCCUUGGCA